rnacentral:rRNA from 1 species
GAAGUCGGAAUCGCUAGUAAUCGCGAAUCAGAAUGUCGCGGUGAAUACGUUCCCGGGCCUUGUACACACCGCCCGUCACACCAUGGGAGUGGGUUGCUCCAGAAGUAGCUAGUCUAACCUUCGGGGGGACGGUUACCACGGAGUGAUUCAUGACUGGGGUGAAGUCGGAACAAGGUAGCCGUAGGAGAACCUGCGGCUGGAUCACC